rnacentral:rRNA from 1 species
AGAGUUUGAUCCUGGCUCAGGACGAACGCUGGCGGCGUGCUUAACACAUGCAAGUCGAACGAGACGAUUUAGAAGCUUGCUUUUAUUGAGUCGAGUGGCAAACGGGUGAGUAACGCGUAGACAACCUGCCGCAAAGAUGGGGACAACAGUCCGAAAGGACUGCUAAUACCGAAUGUUGUGCAUUCUCCGCAUGGAAGAUGCAUUAAAGAUGGCCUCUACUUGUAAGCUAUCGCUUUGCGAUGGGUCUGCGUCUGAUUAGCUAGUUGGUGGGGCAACGGCCUACCNAGGCNACNAUCAGUAGCCGGUCUGAAAGAUGANNGCCACUUUGGAANUGANACNCGNCNNANUCCUACGGGAG